CAGGGCUAUAAGGUAGGUGUAGUCAAGCAGACCGAAACGUCAGCUAUCAAGGCCUCCGGCACCAACAAGAGUUCUCUAUUCACACGGCAACUACAUGCACUUUACACCAAAUCCACACUUGUGGGAGAAGAUGUGAAUCCUCUGCUAAAGCUGGGAGAUUUGGAGCAAGCUGAAGAUGUGGUGCAGGACAGUGGC